rnacentral:rRNA from 1 species
ACUCCUACGGGAGGCAGCAGUGGGGAAUAUUGCACAAUGGGCGCAAGCCUGAUGCAGCCAUGCCGCGUGUAUGAAGAAGGCCUUCGGGUUGUAAAGUACUUUCAGCAGUGAGGAAGGUGGAUAUGUUAAUAGCAUAUUCAUUUGACGUUAGCUGCAGAAGAAGCACCGGCUAACUCCGUGCCAGCAGCCGCGGUAAUACGGAGGGUGCGAGCGUUAAUCGGAAUUACUGGGCGUAAAGCGCAUGCAGGUGGUUUGUUAAGUCAGAUGUGAAAGCCCGGGGCUCAACCUCGGAAUUGCAUUUGAAACUGGCAAACUAGAGUACUGUAGAGGGGGGUAGAAUUUCAGGUGUAGCGGUGAAAUGCGUAGAGAUCUGAAGGAAUACCGGUGGCGAAAGGCGGCCCCCUGGACAGAUACUGACACUCAGAUGCGAAAGCGUGGGGAGCAAACAGGAUUAGAUACCCUGGUAGGCUGUGC